GUGCCAGCAGCCGCGGUAAUACGUAGGUGGCAAGCGUUGUCCGGAAUUAUUGGGCGUAAAGCGCGCGCAGGCGGUCCUUUAAGUCUGAUGUGAAAGCCCACGGCUCAACCGUGGAGGGUCAUUGGAAACUGGGGGACUUGAGUACAGAAGAGGAAAGUGGAAUUCCAUGUGUAACGGUGAAAUGCGUAGAGAUGUGGAGGAACACCAGUGGCGAAGGCGGCUCUCUGGUCUGUAACUGACGCUGAGGCGCGAAAGCAUGGGUAGCGAACAGGAUUAGAUACCCCAGUAGUCC
rnacentral:rRNA from 1 species